GGGGAGUACGAACGCAAGUUUGAAACUCGAAGGAAUUGACGGGGGCCCGCACAAGCGGUGGAGCAUGUGGUUUAAUUCGAUGAUACGCGAGGAACCUUACCAAGGCUUAAAUGUAGAUUGACCGGUUUGGAAACAGAUCUUUCGCAAGACAAUUUACAAGGUGCUGCAUGGUUGUCGUCAGCUCGUGCCGUGAGGUGUCAGGUUAAGUCCUAUAACGAGCGCAACCCCUGUCGUUAGUUGCCAGCGAGUCAUGUCGGGAACUCUAACGAGACUGCCAGUGUAAACUGUGAGGAAGGUGGGGAUGACGUCAGUGACCUUUGC
rnacentral:misc_RNA from 1 species